rnacentral:rRNA from 1 species
AGAGCGAACGCUGGCGGCAGGCCUAACACAUGCAAGUCGAACGCGCCCUUCGGGGUGAGUGGCGGACGGGUGAGUAACACGUGGGAACGUGCCUUUUGGUUCGGAAUAACUCAGGGAAACUUGUGCUAAUACCGAAUGUGCCCUUCGGGGGAAAGAUUUAUCGCCAAAAGAGCGGCCCGCGUCUGAUUAGCUAGUUGGUGGGGUAAAGGCCCACCAAGGCUACGAUCAGUAGCUGGUCUGAGAGGAUGAUCAGCCACAUUGGGACUGAGACACGGCCCAAACUCCUACGGGAGGCAGCAGUGGGGAAUCUUGCGCAAUGGGCGAAAGCCUGACGCAGCCAUGCCGCGUGGAUGAUGAAGGUCUUAGGAUUGUAAAAUCCUUUCACCGGGGACGAUAAUGACGGUACCCGGAGAAGAAGCCCCGGCUAACUUCGUGCCAGCAGCCGC